AUGAGCAAGCUGUGGCGGAGUUGCGAGUACAGUCUUUAGACAGCACUUCUUUCCUGGGAGCAGUUUUUGCUGUGCAGUCCUUCUGCGGAUUGAAUGGGGUCAUCCCGCUCACCAAGGGAAAAUCUGUUUUAGUUCAAGUUGAUUGACCAUCAAUGUACACCAAAUGGAUUGGAUUUGACCAGCUGCAUUGCAAUCUGCUCAAGACCAAGACGCAUUGGUGGUGAGGUGAGAACAGGUGGUUCCCAGGCAGGCGUCUGCCCUGCACUCAGCACCUUAGGUAGCUUUUCUGACACAGUGACCUGACACGGAGCGCUCAUGCAAGAGCCCAGGGCCAGCACCGCACUGCCUGAAAAAAUGAAAAUGCCUCAGUCAACCAAUUCCAGAGCCGAGGGUGGGGAAGAUGGAGAGCUGAAACUGGACAUCAAAGAUGUCUUCUAGCCAAGUUAGAGCAACUGCAGGCACCAGCACAGCAAGUUUGGAAACAGCGAGGAACGACUAUUCUCCAGAGACUGAUGUCUUACAGCGCUUUGACCAGAUGGAGGCAUGGGGUCUAACGAGAUCAAGUAACCUACCCAGGGUCCCUGCGCUGG